rnacentral:rRNA from 1 species
AUGGAGUACACCUCGGGGUGGCGCGGCACCCGCUCGGCCCAGAUCUGGGCCCAUCUCGGUCUACGCAGGGGGCGCGAUGGGGCAUGUCAACGGUGUGGUUUCCGGCAAGCGAAGGAGCGGCGUUGGGCGGAGUGGGUGGUGGCGGCCGCUGGCGCCGGUUUGCUGCAACGUGGUAGUUGGGGCUUUGCGGGCCCGAUUUGGGCAUGGCCGGGCCAGGGGUGGCCUAGUAUGCCCCUGUUGCCGUGUCCGAACGGCGACCGCGACUGUGUUGGAGGCACAAGCCUCCCGCACAACGGCAGUGGAGGUGGUUCCCUCCCGCGCGGCUCCGGUGCUGCGGCUCCUGAUUCCUGGCGCUCCUCUCUCCGUCCUCUUUGCCUCGUGGUGGUGAUCUCAAUGAGGUAG